ACGAAGGGGGCAAGCGUUGUUCGGAAUUACUGGGCGUAAAGGGCGCGUAGGCGGCCGAUCAAGUCAGGCGUGAAAUCCCCGGGCUCAACCUGGGAACUGCAUUUGUGACUGCAUCGCUAGAGUACGGCAGAGGGAGAUGGAAUUCCGCGUGUAGCAGUGAAAUGCGUAGAUAUGCGGAGGAACACCGAUGGCGAAGGCAAUCCCCUGGGCCUGUACUGACGCUCAUGCACGAAAGCGUGGGGAGCAAACAGGA
rnacentral:rRNA from 1 species